UGUUUGGACUCAUGCAAAAAGAAAAUACUACCAGCACACACUCAAAAAAGACCAGUUCAGGUGUUUGAACUCAUGCAAAAAGAAAAUACUACCAUCACACAUUCCACUAAGACCAGUUCAGGUGUUUGGACUGAUGCAAAAAGAAAAUACUACCGUCACACACUCAAAAAAGACCAGUUCAGGUGUGUUUAAACUCAUGCAAAAAGAAAAUCCUACCAGCACACACUCAAAAAAGACCAGUUCAGGUGUUUAAACUCAUGCAAAAAGAAAAUACUACCGUCACACACUCAAAAAAGACCAGUUCAGGUGUUUGGACUCAUGCAAAUAGAAAAUACUACCGUCACACACUCAAAAAAGACCAGUUCAGGUGUUUGGACUCAUGCAAAUAGAAAAUACUACCGUCACACACUCAAAAAAGACCAGUUCAGGUGUUUGGACUCAUGCAAAAAUAAAAUACUACCAGCGCACACUCAAAAAAGACCAGUUCAGGUGUUUGGACUCAUGCAAAAAGAAAAUACUACCAGCACACACUCAAAAAAGACCAGUUCAGGUGUUUAAACUCAUGCAAAAAGAAAAUACUACCAGCACACAUUCCACUAAGACCAGUUCAGGUGUUUGGACUCAUGG